AUUGAACGCUGGCGGCAUGCUUUACACAUGCAAGUCGAACGGUAACAGGCCGCAAGGUGCUGACGAGUGGCGAACGGGUGAGUAAUGCAUCGGAACGUGCCCAGUCGUGGGGGAUAACUGCUCGAAAGAGCAGCUAAUACCGCAUACGAUCUAUGGAUGAAAGCGGGGGACCGUAAGGCCUCGCGCGAUUGGAGCGGCCGAUGUCAGAUUAGGUAGUUGGUGGGGUAAAGGCUCACCAAGCCAACGAUAUGUAGCUGGUCUGAGAGGACGCUCAGCCACACUGGGACUGAAACACGGCCGAGGCGCUGGCGGGAGGCAGCAGUGGGGAAUUUUGGACAAGGGGGGGAACCCUGAUCAAGCAAUGACGCGUGCAGGAAGAAGGCCUUCGGGUUGUAAACUGCUUUUGUACAGAACGAAACGGUCUGGGUUAAUACCCUGGGCUAAUGACGGUACCAUAAGAAUAAGCACCGGCUAACUACGUGCCAGCCGCCGCAGUAACAC
rnacentral:rRNA from 1 species